AGAAUCUCUUUGCUGCUGUUGAAAUGGCAGGCGCAGGUUGUCCUCUUGUGGAACUUCUCUAAAUUCUAGUCUCUUUGUUGCGGAGAAGUUUUGUACUAGUGUCAGUGCAGAGGAGCAGUGAAAAUUAAGAAACAGUCCUAGGCCAGUCUACUCGGGAGCAAGUGCCAUUGAGUUCUUUCCCAAGUAACAAAUGUUGAAAGAAGACACACAGUUUCUUGCAGCAAAAUCUAAGCCAGAUGCAUUCACCAUGAAGAAACCUUUAUUUCAAGAAGCUGCCCUGAUAACAGAUCAAAAAUGCACCCAAUUUGGAUCACUAUCAUUGAUGGCAUUUUUACCCCCAUCGUUGGCGGAAAUGUAGAAAGACCAGGAAACUGCAAGAGGAGCUUUUGCGGAAUAUGUUAAAUAAACUAGAACAAGUUAUGUGUGCUUUGUACACCUAAGUGCAAGGCAUGAAUGCAAUCAGGAAGAAAAGAUUUUGGGCCUCCUGCUUCUGUGUUGUUGCCUUCUUCUUUCUUCUUGUCACCCUCCAGGUGGUUGUAGAGCUUGGGAAGUCUGAAAGGAUGAUGACAAAAAGCUCCCUUUUGCACAGCAAUGCGUUGAGAAGGGAAGAGUUGUUGACAUACACUCGUCUGCUUGCAAAGAAACUGGAACUUCACAGUGACGCAAAGGAUGCUUUGGACGAAGAUGGACAUCCCAUCUUGUUGUGGUGGUCUCCGCUGACGGGAGAGACUGGGCGGCUUGGCCAGUGUGGACAAGACACUUGCUUCUUUACCAUCAACAGAACCUAUCAGCACCAUCCCAUGACAAAGGCAUUUCUCUUCUACGGUACUGACUUCAGCAUUGAUGCCUUACCUCUCCCUCGCGAAGUCCACCAUGACUGGGCCCUUUUCCACGAAGAGUCCCCUAAAAACAAUUACAAGCUCUUCCAGAGCCCCGCAAUCACACUGUUCAACCACACAGCCACUUUCAGCCGCCACUCACACCUCCCGCUCACCACCCAGCACCUUGAGAGCAUCGAGGCCUUGAUGUCCCUGCGGUACAUGGUCCCGCUGCAGGAGAAGAAUCGCUUAAGGAAGAGACUCGCGCCACUUGCCUACGUACAGUCAGACUGCGACCCUCCCUCCGACCGGGACAGCUACGUGAGGGAGCUGAUGAGCCACAUUGAGGUGGACUCGUACGGGGCCUGCUUGCAUAACAGGGACCUCCCCAAGCCUCUCAAAAACCCCGCCUCCAUGGACAGCGAGGACUUCUACCAGGUCCUCGCCCAGUACAAAUUUGUCCUUGCUUUUGAGAACGCCGUCUGUCAAGAUUACAUCACGGAAAAGCUCUGGAGGCCACUGAAGCUGGGAGUGGUGCCUGUUUAUUACGGCUCUCCCAGCAUUGAAGACUGGCUUCCGAACAAGAAGAGUGCAAUUCUCGCCACAAGAUUUUCCAGCCCCAGGGAACUGGCACAGUAUGUCAGUGCUCUGGAUGUGGACGACAAGGAAUACGAGGCCUAUCUUGAAUGGAAGCUGAAAGGCAACAUCUCCAAUGAACGACUACUCGCCGCUAUCCAGGAACGCACGUGGGGAGUGCAAGAUAUCAUGAAAGAGAAUUACCUAGAUGCAUUUGAGUGCAUGGUCUGUACGAGAGUCUGGGAAAAUACCCGGAGACAAGCAAAGGUAAUGUUUAGUGUGUCUGGAUUGCUAGGCAAGACCUGCUCCAUAGACAGACCUUCAAGUGGACUUGGGGACAGAAGCCAGGAAAUCCCCCUAGAAAAAGGUGGCUGUAAUGUUAUUGCUUGGGCUGAAAAGGUCUUCAGCCACUUGCAAAGGCUAAUAGAAAUGCAGUAGUCAAACAAUGCAAUUAAUGCAGUGGAUGGAUUUCAAGCAGCAACUUCUCAAUAAAUUGUUAACUAAACCCCAUAUGCUUGUGAGACAGUUGCGAUACAAAGAAAACUGAAAAACAUAAGUGGGGAGAAGCCAAGCUUUCUUGUGGAUGGUGUGAGUGUGCUUUUGGCACCCCCAAGCUCUUUCUAUGGCAGAAGUCUCCCAUAGACUGCAAUAUUCUGUGAGUUCAAACUCCUAUCCAAUCCAGGUACAUUCUUGCAGGGAAAUAGUUCACCAGACCCUGAACUGCGAAUUCACAACUACCAGCUUCAGUUUCCAGUUGGUAGGUCAUGACCUAAUGCUGGAUUCUAUUCUCACUUAAUGUGGGUUGUACACAACAGCCAUCAUUUAGACACACACAUCUGCAACAAAAAGUUGCCGUGUAGAAGGCUUUUUUGUCAGGACAUUCCAUUUCAUUUUUCUUUCCAGCUGGGUUCCUUUCUACACCCCGACAGUCAGUCAGUCAGUCAGUCAGUCAGUCAGUCAGUCAGUCAGUCAGUGAGCGUUUCAUGCUCCCUGACUAUGCUCAGACUUCAUUAGACUUGUUUUUUCUUCCCAGAGCCUCUUUGAUACCUGGUAAAAUAUGAGAUUGACCCUGUGUCUGUGGAGACCUCCCUCUUGGGUGUGGAUGGUGCUGUUUUGGCAACAUAAGCCUCGGAACUCGGACUACUUUCUAUUAUUUCAAUAUAGCCCUCAUGUUAUUCAGUGGUAACAACAACCUCACACAGUCACUUCAGUAACGUCUGGUGAUGUAUAAUAAUGUUUAGAGAUUCACUCACUGCAGUUCCAAAAGAUUAAAGAUUGGCAGGGUAUGUUACCAAGAAAGUGGAACGCUGCACCUACUCACCUGAGCUGCCCCAAACCUCAAGCAUUUGUUUUUCCAAACGUGCGUGGAACAGCCCUGCAGGAGCUGUGGAUACCCAGCUUUGAA